rnacentral:lncRNA from 1 species
AAAAGUAAAAAAAAAAACCCUUCAACAACAUUUUCCUUUCAUUUUCCUUAAAAACCAUUUGAAAAGCUCUCCAAAUUCUCUUGCCCCAUCCAAUUCUUCAGCAACCGGACCAGAGCUUCGUCCCCGUCCGUCGUUUUGCCGUCGUCGUUGGCCAUCACGUGCAGUGGCCGAAGUUAAAAAAGUAAGUUUUUUUUUUGUAUUUUUAUUCUUUUUAACAGAUAUACAUAGUAAAGAGUGGUCAAAUCCAAAAAAGAAACGAAAAAAAAGAAGAAAAAAGAAAAGAAUCAAAACAACAACCUUGGUAACUUUCGAUUCUACAAAAUUGCCUUGUAUGUUUGCUGUCUUCCCGAUUUGUGUGACCGUCUGAGUUCGAUCUCUGCUUUUAUUUCUUUUGGGUAUUUAAAAUCUUGGUAUUUGGUGUUAAAUCUUGUGUUUGUAUUGAAUCCAUCUUUUUUUUUUUGCCUUGUUACAAUCUUUGGCUUUUAUAGCCUUUAUUUUUACAGGUACAAAAAUGAAAUUAUGGCGAACGUGGAGCCAUUGGAGCUGACAUGGGUGAAAGGCGACGUGGGGGAAACCGACGUGGGCGUGCGAACUUGGAGGACGUGCGUGGGAAGGCUUACGGCGGCUGCAACAGAAAAGGGUGUUAGGGUUUUUCUUUUCUUUUUGAUUUAGGGUUAAAUAUUUAGGUCUGGUUAAUUUAAGGCUUGGGUAAUUUGGGCUUCAAAAUUGGGUUAAUUUUAUUUUGUUUUUGAUUUGAUUUUUGGUCUAUUUUUGGUCUUUGGGGUUUCUUUUUGGUUUAAAAAUUUAGGCUUUAAUGGUAAAUAGGCCUGGGCAAAAAUUUGUAACGCCCCCUUACCCGAGACCGUCGCCGGAGUCGAGCACGAGGCAUUACUAAACUUAUUUGAGCACUUAAACAAAUUCGGACAAGCUGUCCAACUGCGUCAUAGUUGCUUAAAAAUUCAUAUCUCGAGUUUCGAAACUCGAAAUCAAAUUCUGUAAAAUUUUCAUUAAACUAAACUCAUAUAUAUAUCUACUAAUUUUUUUCUAGAAUUUUUGGUUGGGCCAAUUAGUACAGUUUAUUAGUUAAAGUCUCCCCUGUUUUAGGGUUUGACUGCUCUGACCUCUGUGUAUUACGAAUCAGAUAUCUCCCUGUACAGAGUUUCAAUGACUAUGCCAUUUGUUUAUAAUAAAACUAAACUCAAUAAGGAAUCUGUAAAUAUAAAUAAUAACUUCUAAUUAUCUUUGUACAAUUUAUGGUGAAUUUCCAAAGUCAGAACAGGGGAUCUAGAAAUCGCUCUGGCCCUGUUUCACAAAAAUUUAAACUUCUCAUAAAAUAUAACUCAUAUACCUG